CAUAUACUCCCUCCGUCUCAUAUUAAUUGUCUUUUUAUUACAUGUAUUUAGACGUUUUUUAGUAAUAGAUACAUCCAUAUUUGGACAAAUUUGAGUCACUUGAUAUGGGACGGAGGAAGUAUGCG
rnacentral:pre_miRNA from 1 species